GAUGAACGCUGGCGGCGUGCCUAAUACAUGCAAGUCGAGCGAAGAGACGAGGAGCUUGCUCCUCUGACGUUAGCGGCGGACGGGUGAGUAACACGUGGAUAACCUACCUAUAAGACUGGGAUAACUUCGGGAAACCGGAGUUAAUACCGGAUAAUAUAUUGAACCGCAUGGUUCAAUAGUGAAAGACGGUUUUGCUGUCACUUAUAGAUGGAUCCGCGCCGCAUUAGCUAGUUGGUAAGGUAACGGCUUACCAAGGCAACGAUGCGUAGCCGACCUGAGAGGGUGAUCGGCCACACUGGAACUGAGACACGGUCCAGACUCCUACGGGAGGCAGCAGUAGGGAAUCUUCCGCAAUGGGCGAAAGCCUGACGGAGCAACGCCGCGUGAGUGAUGAAGGUCUUCGGAUCGUAAAACUCUGUUAUUAGGGAAGAACAAAUGUGUAAGUAACUAUGCACGUCUUGACGGUACCUAAUCAGAAAGCCACGGCUAACUACGUG
rnacentral:rRNA from 1 species